rnacentral:rRNA from 1 species
AACGAACGCUGGCGGCGUGCUUAACACAUGCAAGUCGAACGCGAAAGGGACUUCGGUCCUGAGUAAAGUGGCGCACGGGUGAGUAACACGUGGAUAAUCUACCCAGUGUUCCGGGAUAACAUCUCGAAAGGGGUGCUAAUACCGGAUAAGCCCACGGGAACUUCGGUUCUUGCGGGAAAAGGUGGGGACCUUUUAGGCCUACUGUCACUGGGUGAGUCCGCGGCCCAUUAGCUAGUUGGUAGGGUAAUGGCCUACCAAGGCUACGAUGGGUAGCUGGUCUGGGAGGAGGAUCAGCCACACUGGAACUGAGAGACGGUCCAGACUCCUACGGGAGGCAGCAGUGGGGAAUUUUGCGCAAUGGGCGAAAGCCUGACGCAGCAACGCCGCGUGAGUGAUGAAGGCCUUCGGGUCGUAAAGCUCUGUCAGAGGGGAAGAACCUCCUGGGGGAUAAUAACCCUCAGGCCUGACGGUACCCUCAAAGGAAGCACCGGCUAACUCCGUGCCAGCCGCCGCGGUAACAC